rnacentral:rRNA from 1 species
AGGCGAACGGCUGAGUAACACGUGGGCAACCUGCCCUUUGCACUGGGAUAGCCUCGGGAAACCGAGGUUAAUACCGGAUACUCCAUAUCCAUCGCAUGAUAGAUAUGGGAAAGCUCCGGCGGCAAAGGAUGGGCCCGCGGCCUGUUAGCUAGUUGGUGGGGUAGUGGCCUACCAAGGCAAUGAUGGGUAGCCGGGUUGAGAGACCGACCGGCCAGAUUGGGACUGAGACACGGCCCAGACUCCUACGGGAGGCAGCAGGC